UAGCGAAGGGGGCUAGCGUUGCUCGGAAUCACUGGGCGUAAAGGGUGCGUAGGCGGGUCUUAAGUCAGGGGUGAAAUCCUGGAGCUCAACUCCAGAACUGCCUUUGAUACUGAAGAUCUUGAGUUCGGGAGAGGUGAGUGGAACUGCGAGUGUAGAGGUGAAAUUCGUAGAUAUUCGCAAGAACACCAGUGGCGAAGGCGGCUCACUGGCCCGAUACUGACGCUGAGGCACGAAAGCGUGGG
rnacentral:rRNA from 1 species